rnacentral:rRNA from 1 species
GGAUGAGCCUGCACUUGAUUAGUUUGUUGGUAGGGUAAUGGCCUACCAAGACUGUGAUCAAUAGCUGAUUUGAGAGGAUGAUCAGCCACAUUGGGACUGAGACACGGCCCAAACUCCUACGGGAGGCAGCAGUGGGGAAUCUUGCACAAUGGAGGAAACUCUGAUGCAGCGAUGCCGCGUGAGUGAAGAAGGCCCUUGGGUUGUAAAGCUCUUUCGUCGGGGAAGAAAAUGACUGUACCCGAAUAAGAAGGUCCGGCUAACUUCGUGCCAGCAGCCGCGGUAAUACGAAGGGACCUAGCGUAGUUCGGAAUUACUGGGCUUAAAGAGUUCGUAGGUGGUUGAAAUAGUUGGUGGUGAAAUCCCAGAGCUUAACUCUGGAACUGCCAUCAAAACUUUUCAGCUAGAGUUUGAUAGAGGAAAGCAGAAUUUCUAGUGUAGAGGUGAAAUUCGUAGAUAUUAGAAAGAAUACCAAUUGCGAAGGCAGCUUUCUGGAUCAUUACUGACACUGAGGAACGAAAGCAUGGGUAGCGAAGAGGAUUAGAUACCCUCGUAGUCCAUGCCGUAAACGAUGUGUGUUAGACGUUGGAAAUUUAUUUUCAGUGUCGCAGCGAAAGCGAUAAACACACCGCCUGGGGAGUACGACCGCAAGGUUAAAACUCAAAUGAAUUGACGGGGACCCGCACAAGUAGUGGAGCAUGUGGUUUAAUUCGAAGAUACGCGCAGAACCUUACCAACACUUGACAUGUUCGUCGCGACUUUAAGAGAUUAAAGUUUUCGGUUCGGCCGGACGAAACACAGGUGCUGCAUGGCUGUCGUCAGCUCGUGUCGUGAGAUGUUGGGUUUAGUCCCGCAACGAGCGCAACCC